ACUUAAAUUGAAGAGUUUGAUCAUGGCUCAGAUUGAACGCUGGCGGCAGGCCUAACACAUGCAAGUCGAGCGGUAGCACAGAGAGCUUGCUCUCGGGUGACGAGCGGCGGACGGGUGAGUAAUGUCUGGGAAACUGCCUGAUGGAGGGGGGUAACUACUGGAAACGGUAGCUAAUACCGCAUAACGU
rnacentral:rRNA from 1 species